UUAAAUUGAAGAGUUUGAUCAUGGCUCAGAUUGAACGCUGGCGGCAGGCCUAACACAUGCAAGUCGAACGGUAACAGGAAGCAGCUUGCUGCUUUGCUGACGAGUGGCGGACGGGUGAGUAAUGUCUGGGAAACUGCCUGAUGGAGGGGGAUAACUACUGGAAACGGUGGCUAAUACCGCAUAACGUCGCAAGACCAAAGAGGGGGACCUUCGGGCCUCUUGCCAUCAGAUGUGCCCAGAUGGGAUUAGCUUGUUGGUGAGGUAACGGCUCACCAAGGCGACGAUCCCUAGCUGGUCUGAGAGGAUGACCAGCCACACUGGAACUGAGACACGGUCCAGACUCCUACGGGAGGCAGCAGUGGGGAAUAUUGCACAAUGGGCGCAAGCCUGAUGCAGCCAUGCCGCGUGUAUGAAGAAGGCCUUCGGGUUGUAAAGUACUUUCAGCGGGGAGGAAGGUGUUGCGGUUAAUAACCGCAGCAAUUGACGUUACCCGCAGAAGAAGCACCGGCUAACUCCGUGCCAGCAGCCGCGGUAAUACGGAGGGUGCAAGCGUUAAUCGGAAUUACUGGGCGUAAAGCGCACGCAGGCGGUCUGUCAAGUCGGAUGUGAAAUCCCCGGGCUCAACCUGGGAACUGCAUUCGAAACUGGCAGGCUUGAGUCUUGUAGAGGGGGGUAGAAUUCCAGGUGUAGCGGUGAAAUGCGUAGAGAUCUGGAGGAAUACCGGUGGCGAAGGCGGCCCCCUGGACAAAGACUGACGCUCAGGUGCGAAAGCGUGGGGAGCAAACAGGAUUAGAUACCCUGGUAGUCCACGCCGUAAACGAUGUCUACUUGGAGGUUGUGCCCUUGAGGCGUGGCUUCCGGAGCUAACGCGUUAAGUAGACCGCCUGGGGAGUACGGCCGCAAGGUUAAAACUCAAAUGAAUUGACGGGGGCCCGCACAAGCGGUGGAGCAUGUGGUUUAAUUCGAUGCAACGCGAAGAACCUUACCUGGUCUUGACAUCCACAGAAGAAUCCAGAGAUGGAUUUGUGCCUUCGGGAACUGUGAGACAGGUGCUGCAUGGCUGUCGUCAGCUCGUGUUGUGAAAUGUUGGGUUAAGUCCCGCAACGAGCGCAACCCUUAUCCUUUGUUGCCAGCGAUUAGGUCGGGAACUCAAAGGAGACUGCCAGUGAUAAACUGGAGGAAGGUGGGGAUGACGUCAAGUCAUCAUGGCCCUUACGACCAGGGCUACACACGUGCUACAAUGGCGCAUACAAAGAGAAGCGACCUCGCGAGAGCAAGCGGACCUCAUAAAGUGCGUCGUAGUCCGGAUUGGAGUCUGCAACUCGACUCCAUGAAGUCGGAAUCGCUAGUAAUCGUGGAUCAGAAUGCCACGGUGAAUACGUUCCCGGGCCUUGUACACACCGCCCGUCACACCAUGGGAGUGGGUUGCAAAAGAAGUAGGUAGCUUAACCUUCGGGAGGGCGCUUACCACUUUGUGAUUCAUGACUGGGGUGAAGUCGUAACAAGGUAACCGUAGGGGAACCUGCGGUUGGAUCACCUCCUUACCUUAAAGAA
rnacentral:rRNA from 2 species